UACAGAGGGUGCGAGCGUUAAUCGGAGUUACUGGGCGUAAAGGGCGCGUAGGCGGCGCUGCAAGUGGGACGUGAAAUCCCCGGGCUUAACCUGGGAACUGCGUCCCAUACUGCAGUGCUAGAGUACUGUAGAGGGCGGUGGAAUUUCCGGUGUAGCGGUGAAAUGCGUAGAGAUCGGAAGGAACACCAGUGGCGAAGGCGGCCGCCUGGACAGAUACUGACGCUGAGGCGCGAGAGCGUGGGGAGCAAACAGG
rnacentral:rRNA from 1 species